GAUGAAGAAUGUAGCGAAAUGCGAUACGUGAUGUGAAUUGCAGAAUUCAGUGAAUCAUCGAAUCUUUGAACGCACAUUGCGCCCGCCAGCACUCUGGCGGGCAUGCCUGUUCGAGCGUCAUUUCAACCAUCAAGCCCCAGGCUUGCGUUGGAGCCCUGCGGCUGCCGCAGCCUCCUAAAAGCAGUGGCGGGCUCGCUAUCACACCGAGUGCAGUAGAUUACUCUUCGCUCAGGGCGUGCAGCGGGUUCCGGCCGUGAAACCCCCUACUUUUAAAGGUUGACCUCGGAUCAGGUAGGAAUACCCGCUGAACUUAAGCAUAUCAAUAAGCGGAGGA
rnacentral:misc_RNA from 1 species